rfam:Echinostoma caproni strain Egypt genome assembly, scaffold: ECPE_scaffold0003168
GCACUGCUGACGAGUCCUAAACAGGAUGAAACAGCUAUCCAGUGC